rnacentral:rRNA from 1 species
CCUCUAGAKUUWUKMUCGKGUCUCAGAKAGMGCGGGGGGACAGGCMUCACACACRCAUGUMGAGCGAUMACACAGGRASYUKSYUCYYKGGYGACGAGCGGCGGACGGGUGAGUAAUGUCUGGGAAWCUGCCUGAUGGAGGGGGAUAACUACUGGAAACGGUAGCUAAUACCGCAUAAYGUCGCAAGACCAAAGAGGGGGACCUUCGGGCCUCUUGCCAUCAGAUGUGCCCAGAUGGGAUUAGCUAGUAGGUGGGGUAACGGCUCACCUAGGCGACGAUCCCUAGCUGGUCUGAGAGGAUGACCAGCCACACUGGAACUGAGACACGGUCCAGACUCCUACGGGAGGCAGCAGUGGGGAAUAUUGCACAAUGGGCGCAAGCCUGAUGCAGCCAUGCCGCGUGUAUGAAGAAGGCCUUCGGGUUGUAAAGUACUUUCAGCGGGGAGGAAGGYGUUGAGGUUAAUAACCUCAGCRAUUGACGUUACCCGCAGAAGAAGCACCGGCUAACUCCGUGCCAGCAGCCGCGGUAAUACGGAGGGUGCAAGCGUUAAUCGGAAUUACUGGGCGUAAAGCGCACGCAGGCGGUCUGUCAAGUCGGAUGUGAAAUCCCCGGGCUCAACCUGGGAACUGCAUUCGAAACUGGCAGGCUAGAGUCUUGUAGAGGGGGGUAGAAUUCCAGGUGUAGCGGUGAAAUGCGUAGAGAUCUGGAGGAAUACCGGUGGCGAAGGCGGCCCCCUGGACAAARACUGACGYUCAGGUGCGAAAGCGUGGGGAGCAAACAGGAUUAGAUWCCYUGGUAGUCCMCSCCGUAAACGAUGUCAACUUGGAGGUUGUGCCCUUGAGKCGUKCUUUCCGGARCUAACGCGMYAACUUMMACCCCG